CUGCAGCAGCCCUUUCUGGGGGAGCCUCGGCGUUCCAGGCAGCUGUGGCCAGGCCUGAGUCAGUGGGAGCCCUGGGCCGCCCCGCCCUGGGGCGGAUUAGCUAAUUAUUAAAAAGUGCUCCGGCAGCACAAAGGGCAGGAGGACGCGCCGCCCUGCUCCGCCUGCUGGGAGCUGGCACUGACCGGAGGGAGCUCGGCAGGAGGGGACAGACCGAGCCGCCCCUUCCCGACACGCGGGCUGCCCCUGGGCGUGGACUUUUGCGCCCAGCCUCUCCGGGAGAAGCCAACUUUACUUUGUGGUUAGACUGUAAGGUCUUUAGGAUUUCCUUUCUCUGUGUCACACAUUAAAAGUGGAGAAUCAUAAUGAUAAUCCCAUUUGGAUUUAUGAACAGUUGAAUAGACUAUUGAAAAGAUGCCUUAAUCAAGAAAUAAAUUCACUACAGAAUUGCAUUCAGGGUGGGACAACUACCUUUACCCAUGGAUUUUCUAUCGCUUCAGGGAAAACUCUUCGAUGUUUGAAUUAAGCACCACAUCUGGAAACAAAAGAAAACGAUUACUUUCACUAAGUGCUAUCUAUGUCUCUAGGACUAUGGACAAAAUUUGCUUACAUUCUGUCAAAAUUCCAUCCACUUUUGAAGAAUUCUACAAUCUGAGCUGAGGGCAGCCAAAUGGCUCUGUUCAUACAGUAUCUGUUGGAGUUGAAGCUCCCAAGAACACUUUACUUUCAUAUUCGGUGCCUCCCACUGGGAUAACAGGAACAGCUGACUGCCUGGCACCUCUGUCUCCAGGCAGCCUCUCUGUGUGGACAGCUCAGGCUUCUUCAUAGCAGGGUGAUCUCAAGGUAGUUGAGUUUUAAAAUGGUGGAUGGCUUCCAGGUGAGAGAAAGAGGAUGUUGCCAGUGCAUUUAAGGUCUGGGCUGAGAAGUACCAAAAACAUCGAUUCCUCUGAGUUCCACUUCCAACCUGUACUCUGUUGGUCAAAGCAGGUUACAGGCCAGGCUGGAGUCAAGGGAGAAGAAAUAGCGUCUACUUCUUGGUGGGAAGACCAGUAUGCACAUAUAGGGAGAGAAGAAUCAGCACUGGCCUUCUUUGGAGUCUCUCUGAGAAGGGGGAAGAUGAAGGAUGACACGGUCUGCUUGUCAGGUAGGAUGGUAUGAAACCCUGCUGCAGAGGUUAGGAAGGAUCUAGAAGACAUGGUAUAGACUCCAGAGCCUUCUAACUCUCCCAUCCCUGAUCACAAGGUCACAAAAGACAACACCUUAACCAUCCAACAACUUCCCAUCCACCAUAUUGAAGAACAGGAAGAGGCCAGAGAGCUAACUGGAGAGCCUGGGAAUGGGUCUUCAUGGCAAUCCCUGGACAGCACUGCAAUUUACUCCACAAGAAAGGCUCCAGGAAGGGCUGGAAAGUUGUAACAAAAUAAAGAAGUUGUAUUAGGUAAAAUUAAAAGAAGUUAGAAUAAUGGCACAUUCAGGGAUGGUGGUUACCUCUCCAGGAGAGAAGGGGAUGUGGAGUCCACAGGGAGCCUCGCCAUUCAGCUAAGCUUUUAUUUCUAAAGUUAGGGGUUGGAUGCAUAGGUGUUGUUGUAUUCUUUGUGCCUUUUUGUGUGUUAAAAAUAGUUCCUAAUGUAACUGUUAAAAGUAGUCAUUUCUGAAUAGAUUUGUGGGUCCCCAAUGCCAAGUUUAGGUCAUGACAUAUUGUAUGGGAGUGGGGACAUAGAGCAAGGCUUGAAAGAGGACUUAGAUUUACUUGUUAGGAGAGUCACCUGGUUGGCUUUGGACAGGACAAGAGCAGAGACAGGGAAACCAGUAAGGGGGCUGCCACAUAUGUCCAGUG
ensembl:lncRNA